UUUUCAGUAGUGUACAGCACUAAAGGCUUUGAACUUUUAAGAAAAAGAAUUUUCUUUUCUGAAGAA
rnacentral:tRNA from 1 species